CGAGGGAUCUGUGGAUCGAGCCUCUUCAGCUCCUCCUGCGCCGCUGCUAGAUAAACUGCUCACUCGCUACCUAUAUAUAGCUUACCAAGAUCUCUCUUGAAUCUGAAUAACUUUAAUCCUUUCAUCAGAUCAAGAGAACGAAGAUCUCUGCUUCCAAGAUUUGGCCAGCAAUAUGGCGAGCGAUGAUCCUGUCGAUGAUGAAAACCCUACAUCUCACACUAAUAACAACAUCAGUAGUGAUAACAAGAACGAACAAAUGUCCAGGGUAGUUUCAUCCCAUGAUCAGUACACAAGGACGGUGUUUGACUUCGUCCACACCGACAAAACCACCACCAAAUCUUCCCGUCAACCCCGAUUGCAAGGACAAGCUAGCGUGGCCGCUCCUGCAUAGCCUAUGAACCGGUACUAUCCCGAUUGAGCUUUCCAUUCCACAAAACCUCUCCUCUACAGCCUCGGUUGAUUCGUACGUUCGUUUCUUCUGGUUUCUCGUACUAGAACUAAUAUUCUUGACCUUGUAAGGCCUCUUCUUGACCUUGUAAGGCCCUGCCUCUGCGGCUGGCUCCUCCUCGCACCUCUUGCUUGUUUCUUCCCUGCUAUCCCCGGAAUCAGUCUCACCAUCAUCGUGUUCAUGAGGCUCCCGCAACAUCCUAUUUCCCGCUCCCUUCUAUCCCUCCUGAGCUAUCUCAUCCCAUGCAUGUAACCAUGUUUGUUUGUAUAGAGUGUUGUAUUAAUAGAUUUCUAGUUUAUUUGUAAGAGUAAUAAUCCGGUUUCUUUCUUUCGUGGAGGCAAUACCCGCACGUUUGUACUGCCCGGUUUGAAAAGAGGCAUGAGAGAUGCC